rnacentral:rRNA from 1 species
UACGUAGGAGGCAAGCGUUGUCCGGAAUUACUGGGCGUAAAGCGCGUGUAGGUGGUGGGACAAGUCUGCUGUGAAAGCGCCUGGCUUAACCGGGCGAGGUCGGCGGAAACUGUCCGACUCGAGGACGGUAGAGGGGGGUGGAAUUCCCGGUGUAGUGGUGAAAUGCGUAGAGAUCGGGAGGAACACCUGUGGCGAAGGCGGCCCCCUGGGCCGGCCCUGACACUGAGACGCGAGGGCGUGGGGAGCGAACGGG